GAUGAACGCUGGCGGCGCGCCUAACACAUGCAAGUCGAACGGUUAAAGCAUCUUUUCGGUGUGUUUAACGUGGCGAACGGCUGAGUAACCCGUGGGCAACCUGCCCUCCUCUUGGGGAAAGCCUCGGGAAACCGAGGAUAAUACCCGAUACUUCCAUGUGGCCGCAUGACGACAUUGAGAAAGCUUUUGCGGAGAAGGAUGGGCCCGCGGCCUGUUAGCUUGUUGGUGGGGUAGAGGCCUACCAAGGCAAUGAUGGGUAGCUGGGUUGAGAGACCGACCAGGCAGAUUGGGACUGAGACACGGCCCAGACUCCUACGGGGGGCAGCAGUGGGGAAUCUUGCACAAUGGGCGGAAGCCUGAUGCAGCGACGCCGCGGGCGGGACGAAGGCCUUCGGGUUGUAAACCGCUUUCAGCAGGGACGAGGCGAUAAGUGACGGUACCUGCAGAAGAAGCCCCGGCUAACUACGUG
rnacentral:rRNA from 1 species